AAUGAACGUUGGCGGCGUGGAUUAGGCAUGCAAGUCGAGCGGAAAGGCCCCGCAAGGGGCACUCGAGCGGCGAAAGGGAUAGUAACGCGUGGGCAACCUGCCCUGGGGACGGGGAUAGCUGGGGGAAACUCCAAUUAAUACCCUAUGACGUCUCCGGACCAAAGGUGUGAUUCCGCCCUGGGAGGGGUCCGCGUCCUAUCAGCUAGUUGGUGAGGUAACGGCUCACCAAGGCAACGACGGGUAGCGGGUGUGAGAGCACGACCCGCAUCACUGGGACUGAGACACUGCCCAGACACCUACGGGUGGCUGCAGUCGAGAAUCUUCGUCAAGGGGCGAAAGCCUGAACGAGCGACGCCGCGUGCGGGAUGAAGGCCUUCGGGUUGUAAACCGCUGUCAGUGGGGAGGAAAUGCCGGAGGGAUCACCCUCCGGUUUGACCGACCCGCAGAGGAAGGACGGGCUAAGUUCGUGCCAGCCGCCGCCGUAAAAC
rnacentral:rRNA from 1 species